rnacentral:rRNA from 1 species
UGAUUUGUCUGGUUAAUUCCGUUAACGAACGAGACCUUAACCUGCUAAAUAGGGUAAAAAACUUUUGUUUUUAAAUUACUUCUUAGAAGGACUUUGCGUGUCUAACGCAAGGAAGUUUGAGGCAAUAACAGGUCUGUGAUGCCCUUAGAUGUUCUGGGCUGCACGCGCGCUACAAUAAUGCAUCCAACAAGUUUAUAACCUUGGCUGGUAAGCUUAGGUAAUCUUUUGAAUGUGCAUUGUGAUGGGGAUAGAUUAUUGUAAUUAUUAGUCUUUAACGAGGAAUGCCUAGUAAGCGCAAGUCAUC